CAAAUGUCUAUAACUUCUUCACCCUAAUUCCAAAUCCUCUAAUUUUUAUACACAAAUUGUAGUUCAAAUCCUAAAUCUUACAAUCUUGGCUUUUAAUUUCCAAAUGCUUUCUUUGAAGUCGCCAAAAAUCCUUAUUAAGAUCAUAGGUAGCCUCUUCAAAGCCCAUUGGGCAUGGUAUUUGACUAAUAGGGAUAAAGUUCUCUAUUCUUUGCCUUCAUCCGACCAUGCCUUACAUUCGUCCCUCCAAAUUAGCCUCUCACUAGUUUGAAUUUUCUUUCUUAGGCUUCCACCUUCUUUCAAGGCUUUAUACUAAAUAUUUAGGUCCUAUAU
rnacentral:lncRNA from 1 species